rnacentral:rRNA from 1 species
GGAAGUAAAAGUCGUAACAAGGUCUCCGUUGGUGAACCAGCGGAGGGAUCAUUACCGAGUUAUACAACUCCCAAACCCACUGUGAACCUUACCUCAGUUGCCUCGGCGGGAACGCCCCGGCCGCCUGCCCCCGCGCCGGCGCCGGACCCAGGCGCCCGCCGCAGGGACCCCAAACUCUCUUGCAUUACGCCCAGCGGGCGGAAUUUCUUCUCUGAGUUGCACAAGCAAAAACAAAUGAAUCAAAACUUUCAACAACGGAUCUCUUGGUUCUGGCAUCGAUGAAGAACGCAGCGAAAUGCGAUAAGUAAUGUGAAUUGCAGAAUUCAGUGAAUCAUCGAAUCUUUGAACGCACAUUGCGCCCGCCAGCAUUCUGGCGGGCAUGCCUGUUCGAGCGUCAUUUCAACCCUCGAGCCCCCCCGGGGGCCUCGGUGUUGGGGGACGGCACACCAGCCGCCCCCGAAAUGCAGUGGCGACCCCGCCGCAGCCUCCCCUGCGUAGUAGCACACACCUCGCACCGGAGCGCGGAGGCGGUCACGCCGUAAAACGCCCAACUUUCUUAGAGUUGACCUCGGAUCAGGUAGGAAUACCCGC